GCCGGGUGUGGUGGCGCGUGCCUGUAGUCCCAGCUACUCGGGAGGCUGAGGUGGGAGGAUCGCUUGAGUCCAGGGAUUCUGGGCUGUAGUGUGCUAUGCUGAUGGAGUGUCUGCACUAAGUUUGGCAUCAAUAUGGUGACCUCCCGGGAGCGGAGGACCACCAGGUUGCCUAUGGAGGGGUGAACCGGCCCAGGUCAGAAACGGAGCAGGUCAAAACUCCUAUGCUGAUCAGUAGCGGGAUCACGCCUGUGAAUAGCCACUGCACUCCAGCCUGGGCAACGUAGCAGACCCCCAUCUCU
rnacentral:SRP_RNA from 1 species